GCGGGCACAGGGAGAGGAAGACUGGGCGAUAUCCUUCUUCUAUUGGUUAGUUGAGCUGCCGAUCAGCAGAAAGCCCAGUAAAUUGUUGUUUUUGGAUUGGCGCAAAAACGUCUUUGCAUCGGUCGGUAGGCGAAACGGUAUCGAACUUUAGAAUGACCAGAAACUAAGUCCGAAUCAGGAGCCAGGCUGUACAGCAGGAUGUCUAUAGAGGCUGAGGCGUUGCUGCAGGAGGCUAAGGAGAGUAUAGAAGCAGCUCAGAAUUACAGGAGCGAACUACAACAACGCCUACAUGGACUCAGCCAAGCACGCAAACAGCCUAUGCAGCUGCCAACACCUCAAACAUGUUGACACAUUUACGCCGACAUCACCCCAGUAUUCCUACCACCGGAACAAGAUGGAAACACAAAAAAACAACACCGCUUGGUCUCCCCUCUGCAUUCAAGCAGCCCUUCACAGCUGGUUCUGACUGGGCCAAAGACAUGCCAAGGGUGAUAGGUAUGUUUACACUAGUGGAUAGGAACCCUUUCUCAGUGGUUGAGAAGAAUAGAGGGAAUCGGCAUCUUUUGAAAGUGCUCGAGCCACGUUACGA
rnacentral:lncRNA from 1 species